rnacentral:tRNA from 1 species
UGGAGCGUAGAGCAGAGUACGCUGCUCAACAGCACUCAUAACCUGAAGGUCGUAGGUUCAAAUCCUACCCCCGCAACCA